rnacentral:rRNA from 1 species
AUACGGAGGGUGCAAGCGUUACUCGGAAUCACUGGGCGUAAAGCGCGCGCAGGCGGCUAUUUAAGUUGGAUGUGAAAGCCUACGGCUCAACCGUAGAACUGCAUCCAAAACUAUUUAGCUAGAGUGUGGGAGAGGAAGAUGGAAUUAGUUGUGUAGGGGUAAAAUCCGUAGAGAUAACUAGGAAUACCAAAAGCGAAGGCAAUCUUCUGGAACAGUACUGACGCUGAGGCGCGAAAGCGUGGGGAGCAAACAGGAUUAGAAACCCUAGUAGUCC